rnacentral:rRNA from 1 species
UGCAGUCGAGCGGACAGAAGGGAGCUUGCUCCCGGAUGUUAGCGGCGGACGGGUGAGUAACACGUGGGUAACCUGCCUGUAAGACUGGGAUAACUCCGGGAAACCGGAGCUAAUACCGGAUAGUUCCUUGAACCGCAUGGUUCAAGGAUGAAAGACGGUUUCGGCUGUCACUUACAGAUGGACCCGCGGCGCAUUAGCUAGUUGGUGAGGUAACGGCUCACCAAGGCGACGAUGCGUAGCCGACCUGAGAGGGUGAUCGGCCACACUGGGACUGAGACACGGCCCAGACUCCUACGGGAGGCAGCAGUAGGGAAUCUUCCGCAAUGGACGAAAGUCUGACGGAGCAACGCCGCGUGAGUGAUGAAGGUUUUCGGAUCGUAAAGCUCUGUUGUUAGGGAAGAACAAGUGCAAGAGUAACUGCUUGCACCUUGACGGUACCUAACCAGAAAGCCACGGCUAACUACGUGCCAGCAGCCGCGGUAAUACGUAGGUGGCAAGCGUUGUCCGGAAUUAUUGGGCGUAAAGGGCUCGCAGGCGGUUUCUUAAGUCUGAUGUGAAAGCCCCCGGCUCAACCGGGGAGGGUCAUUGGAAACUGGGAAACUUGAGUGCAGAAGAGGAGAGUGGAAUUCCACGUGUAGCGGUGAAAUGCGUA